CCUACGGGAGGCUGCAGUGGGGAAUAUUGGACAAUGGGCGAAAGCCUGAUCCAGCCAUGCCGCGUGUGUGAAGAAGGCCUUCGGGUUGUAAAGCACUUUCAGUGGGGAAGAAAGCCUUGGGGCUAAUACCCUCGAGGAAGGACAUCACCCACAGAAGAAGCACCGGCUAACUCCGUGCCAGCAGCCGCGGUAAUACGGAGGGUGCGAGCGUUAAUCGGAAUUACUGGGCGUAAAGCGCGCGUAGGCGGUCUGAUAAGCCGGUUGUGAAAGCCCCGGGCUCAACCUGGGAACGGCAUCCGGAACCGUCAGGCUAGAGUGCAGGAGAGGAAGGUAGAAUUCCCGGUGUAGCGGUGAAAUGCGUAGAUAUCGGGAGGAAUACCAGUGGCGAAGGCGGCCUUCUGGACUGACACUGACGCUGAGGUGCGAAAGCGUGGGUAGCAAACAGGAUUAGAUACCCUGGUAGUC
rnacentral:rRNA from 1 species